rfam:Tepidibacillus sp. Z9 scaffold00001, whole genome shotgun sequence.
GGGGGCGUUUUGGAUUCGACGGGGAUAGUUCGAGCAUCAGUAGCGAGUCGAGGGGCAGCGGCCUCGUUAAAACGCGAAAGCCAAUAAUAACUGGCAAAACUAACAAUAACUUCGCAUUAGCUGCUUAAUUCAGCUUGCGGCUCUACCACUCCAUCGCCCAUGUGGCGUGACUAGGGCUCAACUUUAGUGGGAUACGCGGUUCGCCUUCCGUCUGUAGGUGGCCGAAGAGACCAAUCAGACUAGCUUAUUCGAACGUUUGUUACUUGGCAGUCGGAUAAGCAAAUCCAAAUCAAGUAACUGCACUCGGAGAAGCUGAUGUGGCGUUAUUUUCGGACAGGGGUUCGAUUCCCCUCGCCUCCACCA